AUUGAACGCUGGCGGCAUGCCUUACACAUGCAAGUCGACCGGCAGCACGGGAGCAAUCCUGGUGGCGAGUGGCGAACGGGUGAGUAAAGCAUCGGAACGUGCCCAGUCGUGGGGGAUAACGUAGCGAAAGCUACGCUAAUACCGCAUACGAUCUGUGGAUGAAAGCGGGGGACCGUAAGGCCUCGCGCGAGUGGAGCGCCCGAUGUCAGAUUAGGUAGUUGGUGAGGUAAAGGCUCACCAAGCCGACGAUCUGCAGCUGGUCUGAGAGGACGACCAGCCACACUGGGACUGAGACACGGCCCAGACUCCUACGGGAGGCAGCAGUGGGGAAUUUUGGACAAUGGGCGCAAGCCUGAUCCAGCAAUGCCGCGUGCAGGGUGAAGGCCUUCGGGUUGUAAACUGCUUUUGUACGGAGCGAAACGGCUUCCACUAAUACUGGGGGCUAAUGACGGUACCGUAAGAAUAAGCACCGGCUAACUACGUGCCAGCCGCCGCCGUAAGAC
rnacentral:rRNA from 1 species